rnacentral:rRNA from 1 species
GGGCAAAUUGACACCGUAACUUCGGAAGAAGGUGUGCCUUUAGUAGGUGAACCAUUUACUUGGGGAGCCCAAUGAGGUUGCAAAAAAUCGGUGGCUGCGACUGUUUAUUAAAAACACAGCACUCUGCAAACACGAAAGUGGACGUAUAGGGUGUGACGCCUGCCCGGUGCUGGAAGAUUAAAUGAUGGGGUGCAAGCUCUUGAUUGAAGUCCCAGUAAACGGCGGCCGUAACAAUAACGGUCCUAAGGUAGCGAAAUUCCUUGUCGGGUAAGUUCCGACCUGCACGAAUGGCGUAACGAUGGCCACACUGUCUCCUCCCGAGACUCAGCGAAGUUGAAAUGUUUGUGAUGAUGCAAUCUCCCCGCGGAAAGACGGAAAGACCCCAUGAACCUUUACUGUAGCUUUGUAUUGGACUUUGAACAGAUCUGUGUAGGAUAGGUGGGAGGCUUUGAAGUAGGGUCGCUAGAUCUUAUGGAGCCAACGUUGAAAUACCACCCUGGUGUGUUUGAGGUUCUAACCUAGGUCCAUUAUCUGGAUCGGGGACAGUGCAUGGUAGGCAGUUUGACUGGGGCGGUCUCCUCUCAAAGCGUAACGGAGGAGUUCGAAGGUACGCUAGUUACGGUCGGACAUCGUGACGAUAGUGCAAUGGCAUAAGCGUGCUUAACUGCGAGACUGACAAGUCGAGCAGAUGCGAAAGCAGGACAUAGUGAUCCGGUGGUUCUGUAUGGAAGGGCCAUCGCUCAACGGAUAAAAGGUACCCUGGGGAUAACAGGCUGAUACCGCCCAAGAGUUCAUAUCGACGGCGGUGUUUGGCACCUCGAUGUCGGCUCAUCUCAUCCUGGGGCUGUAGCCGGUCCCAAGGGUAUGGCUGUUCGCCAUUUAAAGAGGUACGUGAGCUGGGUUUAAAACGUCGUGAGACAGUUUGGUCCCUAUCUUCCGUGGGCGCUGCAGAUUUGAGGAAGCCUGCUCCUAGUACGAGAGGACCGGAGGACACACCUCUGGUGUAUCGGUUGUCACGCCAGUGGCAUUGCCGAGUAGCUAAGUGUGGAAGAGAUAACCGCUGAAAGCAUCUAAGCGGGAAACUCGUUUCAAGAUGAGAUCUGCCGGGGCCUUGAGCCCCCUAAAGAGUCGUUCAAGACCAGGACGUUGAUAGGCAGGGUGUGGAAGCGCAGUAAUGCGUUAAGCUAACCUGUACUAAUUGCUCGUGCGGCUUGACCCU